rnacentral:rRNA from 1 species
UACGUAGGGACCAAGCGUUGUUCGGAAUUAUUGGGCGUAAAGGGCGCGUAGGCGGUGCGGUAAGUCUGCGGUGAAAUCUCCCGGCUCAACUGGGAGUCUGCCGUGGAAACUGCCGUGCUUGAGUGUGGGAGAGGUGAGUGGGAUUCCCGGUGUAGCGGUGAAAUGCGUAGAUAUCGGGAGGAACACCUGUGGCGAAAGCGGCUCACUGGACCACAACUGACGCUGAGGCGCGAAAGCUAGGGGAGCAAACAGG